UACAGAGGGUGCGAGCGUUAAUCGGAGUUACUGGGCGUAAAGGGCGCGUAGGCGGUUAUAUAAGUGAGAUGUGAAAUCCCUGGGCUUAACCUAGGACUUGCAUCUUAUACUGUAUGACUGGAGUACUGUAGAGGGUAGUGGAAUUUCCGGUGUAGCGGUGAAAUGCGUAGAGAUCGGAAGGAACACCAGUGGCGAAGGUGGCUACCUGGACAGAUACUGACGCUGAGGCGCGAGAGCGUGGGGAGCAAACAGG
rnacentral:rRNA from 1 species